rnacentral:rRNA from 1 species
UACGUAGGUGACCAGCGUUGUCCGGAUUUACUGGGCGUAAAGAGCGCGCAGGCGGUCGUUCAAGUCGAGUGUGAAAGCCCCCGGCUCAACUGGGGAGGGUCACUUGAUACUGAUCGACUCGAAGGCAGGAGAGGGAAGCGGAAUUCCCGGUGUAGUGGUGAAAUGCGUAGAUAUCGGGAGGAACACCAGUGGCGAAGGCGGCUUCCUGGCCUGUUCUUGACGCUGAGGCGGCGAAAGCUAGGGGAGCAAACGGGG